rnacentral:rRNA from 1 species
AUUGAACGCUGGCGGCAUGCCUUACACAUGCAAGUCGAACGGUAACAGGUCUUCGGAUGCUGACGAGUGGCGAACGGGUGAGUAAUACAUCGGAACGUGCCCGAGAGUGGGGGAUAACGAGGCGAAAGCUUUGCUAAUACCGCAUACGAUCUCAGGAUGAGAGCAGGGGACCGCAAGGCCUUGCGCUCACGGGGCGGCCGAUGGCAGAUUAGGUAGUUGGUGGGAUAAAAGCUUACCAAGCCGACGAUCUGUAGCUGGUCUGAGAGGACGACCAGCCACACUGGGACUGAGACACGGCCCAGACUCCUACGGGAGGCAGCAGUGGGGAAUUUUGGACAAUGGGCGCAAGCCUGAUCCAGCCAUGCCGCGUGCAGGAUGAAGGCCUUCGGGUUGUAAACUGCUUUUGUACGGAACGAAAAGACUCUGGUUAAUACCUGGGGUCCAUGACGGUACCGUAAGAAUAAGCACCGGCUAACUACGUGCCAGCCGCCGCCGUAAAAC